rnacentral:rRNA from 1 species
GACGUAGGGCGCGAGCGUUGUCCGGAUUGAUUGGGCGUAAAGAGCUCGUAGGCGGCUCGUUGCGUCGGCUGUGAAAACCCGCAGCUCAACUGUGGGCCUGCAGCUGAUACGGGCGGGCUGGAGUUCGGUAGGGGAGACUGGAAUUCCUGGUGUAGCGGUGAAAUGCGCAGAUAUCAGGAGGAACACCGGUGGCGAAGGCGGCUCACUGGCCCGGUACUGACGCUGAGGUGCGAAAGCGUGGGGAGCAAACAGG